UUCAUUGGUAUAGAACAAACAAUCAUUCAUUAGUCUUCCAUUAUAAUUUAAAAAUGCAUUGACUAAGAUUAUUCUAGCAGACUUGAUUUACUGAAGAAUUAGAAUAUGUAUAUUCUAAAAAUUCUGUAUUUAUUUUGUGACUGUGAGUAGUUUUUGUUAAGUAUAUAGUGUUUGAUCUGUAUGCUCCAGGCUGUAGAAGUACAACACUUGUGGUUUCCAAUCAGUGUGACUGGAGAAAUAUUUAAAGUGUAGUAUUAUAUUACAAGUAUUUCUUGUAGUCCAGACUGAGAGGAUAGCUAGUACAGGAAGCCAUUCUCAUUUUAUUCAAACUAUAUUUAAAUGCAUAUUUAAAAUUGCAAUGAGUGUUCAAUUAAGAGGUACAGAUGCUUAACAACCUAGUUAAUGCCAAAUUUCAUGCUUCUAGCUUUCCUGGCCAAUACCUUUCAUACCCAGAGGUCAGAUUAAAGUCCACUAAGACUUGCUGCCAACUCAGCUACCGAGACCUGGAGUUCAGUCAGAUAGGUUGCUUUGCAGCAGGGAAGCUGAUACAGAAGCAACAAUCUCUAGAGGCCAACUUAAAGGGCCUGAUAGCAAUCACCUGGAGCAGUACCUAUGAAAAGAUGCACAUUGGCUCGAGUGGUUAGGACACUGGGUUGGAGGUUAGAAAGCCAUGUUCAAGACCUGUGGGAUGGGGUGAGCUCCUGUCCUUUGCUCCAGCUCCUGCUGGGGACAUGAAAGGAGACCCCAACUGAGCAUCCUCAAGGCAUUGGUGAUGUCACAGGCCAAUCCUUUCAACCAGGAAGUGUCUCAGUGCUUUUGACACUAAUGCAGCAAUACAUCUGAAUGCCACCAGACAGUCCCAGAUGAUCAGGGCCAUUCCAGCCUCUCUGCCCCUGGGUGUAGGCUGAUGCCCAUCCAAAAAUCAAUUGGAUUUAGAUGGACAACUAAGGAAAUUGAAUAAUUGCAGCCAGUCCACUAGAAACCUCCUUCUCUUCCAGAUGUAAACCUCUGUCUACCUCUGAUGCCCUAGAAAAGGUGCACAUUGCCAAAGAAAAGAUGGAAAAAGCAUUCAGAGAUGUCCCUUAGUAACUCAAAGCACAGAUUCCAAACACAGAGAACAACAGGGCUGUCUUUUUAGAUUUCUUUUUCUCGGAGAAAUGGGAAAAGUAUGUAAAGACAAACUUCAGUGUUUCUGAGCGGAAUAUGAUUAUUAUGAAUAUUUACUGCUAUAAUGUUUUUUUGCAAAGGUUUUCACCAUCAGUCAUAAGGCCUAAGUUCAGUCAGGUGAAACAUGGCCUCAAGUAGGGAGUAUACAUUCACCAUACGAAUCAGCCAAUAAUCAGCCAACAAUGUUUCUGCUUAUGGGCAAAGUCUUAGUUUUAUCUGUCAAUAAUUAUGGUGGAUUUGUGUCUGUAGUUUGGAGAUCGAGAACGUGGCACUUUUUUUUAGAAAUAAAGACCUGCACUUUGCAAAACUCUUUCAUCUUCACUGUGCACAUAAGGUACAGAACAGAAAGGCUCACCAGAUUUGUGUUUGUGUUUUAGUAUGCCUUUGAGUCAAUGUUGACUCCUGGCAACUGCCUGGAUUAGUCUCUGCAGUUUUCUUGGCAAGAUUUUAGAUGUGAUUUGCCACUGUCAUUUUCCCAGCGCUGAGAGAGAGUG